rnacentral:snRNA from 1 species
AUCUGUUAAAAGAUAACGCAGGU